rnacentral:lncRNA from 1 species
UGCUCUUUUUCUUCAUUAGACUGAUCAAAAGGUCUCCCCUGCCUAUCAACACCUGGCCACAGGAAACUUUUGAAAUGCAGUCUAGCAACCUGAGAAAAGUGAGAGAAGAGGCUCACACAUGAGCACUUUGCCUGGGGUACUAGUGUCCAGCUGUUUGCUCCAAAAGUGGCUCCAAGGGGCUGAGUGGGAAGCAGGAGGCCAUUAGGACCCAGAAGCUCUUGGAGCAUCCUGCUCCGCCGGCUGCCUCUCACUGCUCACUGCAGUGGUUCAGGCUUCAGCAGCCUUGGAAAAGCAUCAGCUGAGAGGAGAUAUCACAUGGGAGCCAGGAGCUGCUCAGCAAAGACCCUGAGUAUAUGUGGCCACCUCAACUGUGAAAUGAACUUUCUACUAUUCCUGGAGAGAGACAUGUCUCCAGGAACUCAUCCAAAGUCAGGGUGGUCUCCAGUCUUGGAGUCUGAGUUAUCCUUUCCAGAAGAGAGUUCCCUGGCUGGCACACAGAUGACUGAUUGAAUAUUCUUGGAGUAUGUAUUAGUGGGCAGGGAUUCAACUAAUCAAUUUGAGUCUGAUUCAAUUAAAAAAAUUCCACCGAGUACCUAUUGCAUGUAUGGCAUGUUAGAAUUUGUAUGAAUCAAGAUUUAUGGUAGCACCAAAACCUCACUGAUUGUAAGAUUACGGUGGAGGAAAGUAGGCCCUGGUAGCUGUAUAGUCUGCCUCAUUGCAGUCAUAGAAAUGCUGUUUUAAAAUUGAGCAACC